GGGGGUGUGGCUCAGUGGUAGAGCGUUUGCCUAGCAUGGGGGAGGCCCUGGGUUCGAUUCUCAGCACCGCAU
rnacentral:tRNA from 1 species